rnacentral:rRNA from 1 species
CCUACGGGAGGCUGCAGUGAGGAAUAUUGGUCAAUGGACGAGAGUCUGAACCAGCCAAGUAGCGUGAAGGAUGACUGCCCUAUGGGUUGUAAACUUCUUUUAUAUGGGAAUAAAACGUUCCACGUGUGAGAUUUUGUAUGUACCAUAUGAAUAAGGAUCGGCUAACUCCGUGCCAGCAGCCGCGGUAAUACGGAGGAUCCGAGCGUUAUCCGGAUUUAUUGGGUUUAAAGGGAGCGUAGGUGGAUUGUUAAGUCAGUUGUGAAAGUUUGCGGCUCAACCGUAAAAUUGCAGUUGAAACUGGCAGUCUUGAGUACAGUAGAGGUGGGCGGAAUUCGUGGUGUAGCGGUGAAAUGCUUAGAUAUCACGAAGAACUCCGAUUGCGAAGGCAGUUCACUGGACUGCAACUGACACUGAGGCUCGAAAGUGUGGGUAUCAAACAGGAUUAGAUACCCGGGUAGUC